rnacentral:lncRNA from 1 species
AUGAACAUCAGAAAUAAUCUUAGAUCUCUUCUGACUUCAGAGAUCUCUACAGGUGGAUAUCUCUUGCAACCUUGUCUGCCUCAUACAAUGACACUCCUACAGCUAUCAGGCCCUCUUUUCUUCUUUUGGAAUAUAAGUCCACUGGCCAUAACCUGGAACAGCCUUCCUCACCAGGGUAUCCUCUGGAUGUGCAUCUUAAGAGCUACAGUAGCAUGGAGAGUACAGGUGGUGGGGAUCUUGAUCUACGAUUGAUCCUUGUGAGCAUGUUCUUGACACUCUCUGUGGAUCACCUUUUCCUGCUUCCACCAGACAAGCAAGCAAGAUGCAUCUAUACAGGCAGGACCUCUGCUCUAUCUCUGUAUACGCACAGAGAUACAGACAUAACUCAGAUCUCCACCCUAGCAAUCAUCAUUAAACCCUUGGAUGUUUCCCUGACCUAUGCCCUGCUCUAAUUAAUCAUGUGCCAUCAAGGAGAUAACAACCUACAGCAAGUCUCCUUGGGUUUCUAAGUAUAAAGUACUCAGAAGUUGUUUACGAGUCCAUCAUUCUGGUGGUGCUGUGGGGCCAUGCAGCUUGCCUAAAGCCACACAACUGGCAGGGCAAAUGACCCCACCAGUCACGCAUGCUCCUGAUGAUCUCAGCUGGCCCCUCUCCCAAAAGACCUGGUGGGAACCUGACCUUCUGUCUGAUGGCUCUGCAGCUGGGGGCUUCAACUAGCAGUCCCCAUAUGAGUUCAAUAUACAGUAACUCAAAUGCAUGCCAGUGCAACCCUAAUACAAGCAAAGCUGCUUAAUUAGUAUAAACCACUACACCUGGCUGUCCUUGCCCGAGAAAAUGUCUAUACCAAUUGAAACAGAGUCUCUAACCCAUCAAUAAUAUAGAGCUAGAGAGGAUGGGCACAGGCCCGUGAAUCCAAAGACUAUAGCACAGUGAAGCACUCAUCUCAAUGCAGACCUACGCUUCUAAAGCCAACCUUGGCUCGCCUUGCCCUAAGUGGUGAGGGAAAUAGAACCAGGAACAGUUCUGUCUUACAAUUUGACUCAUUCUAGCACAGAAAUUAAGCAAACUUUUGUUUAAACUGCUCUGAGAAAACACAGAUGGAAUGGAAAUGACAUAAUACAAAUGUGUGUUCAAUCCACAUAAUCAGUAUAGUUCAAGUUUCCAUAAUUUGCUUGAAUGACAAAGAGCCCUGUGGCACUUUAAAGACAUAUAAAUUUAUGCUACUGUGAGCUUUUACAGUCAAUAGUCCACU